rnacentral:rRNA from 1 species
UACGUAGGGAGCAAGCGUUGUCCGGAAUCAUUGGGCGUAAAGAGCGUGUAGGCGGCUUGCUAAGUCUUGCGUGAAAUCUCGGGGCUCAACCCCGAGCGGUCGUGGGAAACUGGCAGGCUAGAGUGCGGGAGAGGAGAAUGGAAUUCCUGGUGUAGCGGUGAAAUGCGCAGAUAUCAGGAAGAACACCCGUGGCGAAGGCGGUUCUCUGGAACGCAACUGACGCUGAGACGCGAAAGCGUGGGGAGCAAACAGG